rnacentral:misc_RNA from 1 species
AGAAACUGAAUGCGAUCAUCUCCAAUGACUUUACAAUAGACAAAUCCAAUUAUUUUCACCAAGUAGAAGAACAUUACAGCAACAUAAAAUAACGCCAACAAAUAUUUUGUAGAUCUGACCUGAUUGUAGUAAAUCUACAUCCCCUUUAUACUGUAACCCUCUUUGAACAGGUUGUUAUAUAAUUUAUCAGGGAUCAAAACUUUCAAAAAUUGGUGAAGAAAGCAUCCAGUUGGAGAAUUUAAAAGAUGGCAUUAAAAUGAAGAAGAUAGAGAGUGUACGGAAAGAUAUGGAGCCAAAAGAAAAUACCUCUUAUCCGUCCAAAAUGUGAAAAGUCCAAAACCACAACCCCACUAUCAAAAGCAUCUAAUGCUUCAU